GGGGGGUGCAAGCGUUAUUCGGAAUCACUGGGCGUAAAGAGCGCGUAGGCGGGUCUCUUAAGUCAGAUGUGAAAGCCCGGGGGCUCAACCCCGGAAGUGCAUUUGAAACGAAGGGACUUGAGUAUGGGAGAGGGAAGUGGAAUUCCUGGUGUAGCGGUGAAAUGCGUAGAUAUCAGGAGGAACACCGGUGGCGAUGGCGACUUCCUGGACCAAUACUGACGCUGAGGCGCGAAGGCGUGGGGAGCAAACAGGAUUAGAUACCCUGGUAGUCCACGCAGUAAACGUUGAACACUAGGUGUAGCGGGUAUUGACCCCUGCUGUGCCGCAGCUAACGCAUUAAGUGUUCCGCCUGGGGAGUACGGCCGCAAGGCU
rnacentral:rRNA from 1 species